rnacentral:rRNA from 1 species
AACGAACGCUGGCGGCAUGCCUAACACAUGCAAGUCGAACGAAGCCUUCGGGCUUAGUGGCGCACGGGUGCGUAACGCGUGGGAAUCUGCCCUUGGGUUCGGAAUAACAGUUAGAAAUGACUGCUAAUACCGGAUGAUGUCUUCGGACCAAAGAUUUAUCGCCCAAGGAUGAGCCCGCGUAGGAUUAGGUAGUUGGUGGGGUAAUGGCCCACCAAGCCGACGAUCCUUAGCUGGUCCGAGAGGAUGAUCAGCCACACUGGGACUGAGACACGGCCCAGACUCCUACGGGAGGCAGCAGUGGGGAAGAUUGGACAAUGGGCGAAAGCCUGAUCCAGCAAUGCCGCGUGAGUGAUGAAGGCCUUAGGGUUGUAAAGCUCUUUUACCAGGGAUGAUAAUGACAGUACCGGGAGAAUAAGCCCCGGCUAACUUCGUGCCAGCAGCCGCGGUAAGAC